GAUCCGGUUAUUGAUGAAAUUCCCAUUUUGCAACCAAAAAAUCAUAUAAAUAUCUGGCAUCGGUAGGCUAGAGACAUCAUUCAGGAUUCUCCCGUCCCGAUUUUUACAAACAAACUCAAAAUGAAAUUCGUCGUUUUAGUUCUUGCUCUAAUCAGCGCUGUUUCUGCUGGAUACAUCGCUCCUUUCUUCUCCGGCUACUCUGCCUACUCGGCACCAGUUGUUAGCACCUACAGUGCCGCCCCAAUUGUAUCAUCACCUUAUGUGGCUCCAUACUAUGGAUAUGGUUAUGGAUAUUCUGCAUACCCAGCUUAUGGAGUCGAUUUUCUCAAGAAGAAGGCUUAAGGAACUCAUAUUUGACACAGUUUCUGACUAAGGAUUGAGAUUGGCUUAAUAAAAUGUUCAUAAAUAAAUAAUUAA